UAAUUAAAAAUUUAUUUACAUUGUUUAUUUAUUAAUUUUAAUAAAAAUAAUUUUAGAAAUUUAUGGUUUUAGUAUGGUUUACAGAAAAAAUUUAUUUAAUUAUAGUUUAUUAGUAUUGUAAAAGAAUAUUUAAAGAUUAGUUUAUUUAUUUAAAAGUAGGGUUAAUUUUCCGUACCUUGUGUAUCAGGGUUGAUUAAAUAAAAUUUAUGUAAAAUAAUUUUCUCGAAUUGAAGGGAGCUAUUUUAAAAUAAUUGUUAUUGUAACAACAAUAUAUUUAAUUUUAAGAUAGUAAUGAAAAGUUAUUCGUCCUUUAAUAUAUCUAGUUCACUUAGAAAUAAAUUUAAUUUAGAUCUUAAAAUUAUUAUAAGUUAAAUUUUUAAUUUAUAUAUUUUAAGAUUAGUAAUAAUAGGGAUAAGCUUAUUAUUAAAAAUCUAUAAUUUUUAAUUUAUAAAUAAAUUUGUAAGUUUAGAAAUAUCUAUCAAUCUAGUUUGUUAUAAUUAAUUUAUUGUUAUAUAAUAUUUUAUAAAGAUUUAGGUUUAUAUAAGUGUGUAUUUGUUAAUAAUUAACAUUUAGUAAUAAUGAUUAAAUUAGUAUAUUUAUAUAUAAUAAUAUUUAUUUAUAAGAAGUUAUUUAAAGGAACUCGGCAAAUAUUUUAUUCGCCUGUUUAACAAAAACAUGUCCUUUUGAAUAUAUUUAAGGUCUAACCUGCCCAAUGAGGAUUUAAAUGGCCGCAGUAUUUUGACUGUGCAAAGGUAGCAUAAUUAUUAGUUUUUUAAUUGAAAGCUUGUAUGAAGGGUUGGACGAGAUAAAAUCUGUCUUUAUUUAAAUUAAAAUAGAAUUUAACUUUUAAGUCAAAAGGCUUAAAUACUAAUAAAAGACGAGAAGACCCUAUAGAUCUUUAUUUAAUUAAUAUUUUAAUAAUUUAGGAUUAUUUUAAUUUAAAAUUUUAAUUAAAUUUUAUUGGGGUAAUAUAAAGAUUAAAAAAAUUCUUUUUAUUUAUUACAUUAAUUUAUGAAUUUAUGAUCCAAUAUUAUUGAUUAAAAGAUUAAGUUACCUUAGGGAUAACAGCGUAAUUUUUUUGGAGAGCUCAUAUCGAUAAAAAAGUUUGCGACCUCGAUGUUGGAUUAAAAAUUAGCUUGGGUGCAGAAGUUCAAGAUUUUGGUCUGUUCGACCAUUAAAUUUUUACAUGAUCUGAGUUCAGACCGGCGUAAGCCAGGUCGGUUUCUAUCUUUAUUAAAAUAAAAUAUUUUAGUACGAAAGGACCAAAUAUUUAAUAUAUUUAUAUUUAUUUUUUGAAUAAUAUU
rnacentral:rRNA from 1 species